CAGUAGCCGCGGUAAUACGUAGGGUGCGAGCGUUAAUCGGAAUUACUGGGCGUAAAGCGUGCGCAGGCGGUUGUGUAAGACAGGUGUGAGAUCCCCGGGCUUAACCUGGGAACUGCGCUUGUGACUGCACAGCUAGAGUAUGGCAGAGGGGGGUGGAAUUCCACGUGUAGCAGUGAAAUGCGUAGAGAUGUGGAGGAACACCGAUGGCGAAGGCAGCCCCCUGGGCCAAUACUGACGCUCAUGCACGAAAGCGUGGGGAGCAAACAGGAUUAGAUACCCCCGUAGUCCCUGUCUCUUAUAA
rnacentral:rRNA from 1 species